rnacentral:rRNA from 1 species
UACGAAGGGGGCUAGCGUUGUUCGGAAUCACUGGGCGUAAAGGGUGCGCAGGCGGGCAUUUAAGUCAGGGGUGAAAUCCCGAGGCUCAACCUCGGAACGGCCUUUGAUACUGGGGAUCUUGAGUCCGGAAGAGGUGAGUGGAACUGCGAGUGUAGAGGUGAAAUUCGUAGAUAUUCGCAAGAACACCGGUGGCGAAGGCGGCUCACUGGUCCGGAACUGACGCUGAGGCACGAAAGCGUGGGGAGCAAACGGG